GAAGGUGGAUUUAUAAGUAAUUAGAUUUUAUUAUUAUUUGGUGAAUAGUGGAAUAACAUGUGUACAUAUUGCCCGUCGCUCUCGUUAUUAUUUGAGAUAAGUCGUAACAUAGUUGAUGUACUGGAAAGUGUAUCUUUUUGU
rnacentral:rRNA from 1 species